UACGGAGGGUGCAAGCGUUAUCCGGAUUCACUGGGUUUAAAGGGUGCGUAGGCGGGCAGGUAAGUCCGUGGUGAAAUCUCUGAGCUUAACUCAGAAACUGCCAUGGAUACUAUUUGUCUUGAAUAUUGUGGAGGUAAGCGGAAUAUGUCAUGUAGCGGUGAAAUGCUUAGAUAUGACAUAAAACACCAAUUGCGAAGGCAGCUUACUACACAGUUAUUGACGCUGAGGCACGAAAGCGUGGGGAUCAAACAGG
rnacentral:rRNA from 1 species